UACAGUGCAGAUAGUCAAUCCAGUGUGUGAGUGAAAAUGGAAACAAAUUUCACACUUCACUGGAACUAGCUUUCCACUCCAUUCCCCUACAGCUUCCUCCUCCACUGACCGCAACUUCCUUCUCUUUCAUUCUUCAUUCUUCUUCUGGUUGCUCGCUGGCUGCUAUUUUAGCAACCGGAAUGACUAAUAACUCCCCCUCCCCCUCCCCCUCCUCCUCCUCCUCCUCCUCCUCCUCCUCCUCCUCCUCCUCCUCCUCCUCCUCUGAGUGUAUUUUUCAUUUCUAGUUCUGUUGUUUUACUUUUUCCUGCUCUAAGUCCUUUUUGUUGUUCAAAGCCAUGGCAAAUGCACCGGUUUUAUUUGCUCAAAACUUGCCGCUCGGAUGGAGAUUUGCCCCGACCGAUCAACAACUGGUUGGUCAUUACUUGAAGCGGAAGAGGCAUGGUGAUCCUAUCGAAGGCUCCGACAUCGUUGAGGUUAUUAAAUUCUGCAAUUAUAACCCUGGGGAUCUUGCUGGU
rnacentral:lncRNA from 1 species